CAGAAGGGGAGAGUGGANUCCCAUGUGUAGCGGUGAAAUGCGUAGAUAUAUGGAGGANCACCAGUGGCGAAAGCGGCUCUCUGGUCUGUCACUGACGCUGAGGCUCGAAAGCGUGGGUAGCGAACAGGAUUAGAUACCCUGGUAGUNCACGCCGUAAACGAUGAGUGCUAGGUGUUAGGCCCUUUCCGGGGCUUAGUGCCGGAGCUAACGCAAUAAGCACUCCGCCUGGGGAGUACGACCGCAAGGUUGAAACUCAAAGGAAUUGACGGGGGCCCGCACAAGCGGUGGAGCAUGUGGUUUAAUUCGAAGCAACGCGAAGAACCUUACCAGGUCUUGACAUCCCGAUGCUAUUCUUAGAGAUAGGAAGUUACUUCGGUACAUCGGAGACAGGUGGUGCAUGGUUGUCGUCAGCUCGUGUCGUGAGAUGUUGGGUUAAGUCCCGCAACGAGCGCAACCCUUAUUGUUAGUUGCCAUCAUUAAGUUGGGCACUCUAGCGAGACUGCCGGUAAUAAACCGGAGGAAGGUGGGGAUGACGUCAAAUCAUCAUGCCCCUUAUGACCUGGGCUACACACGUGCUACAAUGGUCGGUACAACGAGUUGCGAGCCGGUGACGGCAAGCUAAUCUCUGAAAGCCGAUCUCAGUUCGGAUUGGAGGCUGCAACUCGCCUCCAUGAAGUCGGAAUCGCUAGUAAUCGCGGAUCAGCACGCCGCGGUGAAUACGUUCCCGGGCCUUGUACACACCGCCCGUCACACCACGAGAGUUUGUAACACCCGAAGUCGGUGAGGUAACCUUUUAGGGGCCAGCCG
rnacentral:rRNA from 1 species